rnacentral:lncRNA from 1 species
AACAUUUUAGUAAUUAGGGGCUAAAAAGGGCCCAAAUAAGCAUUUUCUUGGUUUUCGCACUAUAACUUUAGUUUAAGUAAAUAGAAAUCUAUGAAAUUUUGACACAAGGUUUAUAACCACAAAAGGAAGGUUGGGAUUGAUUUUGGGAGUAUUGGUUCCAACAGUUUAGGAAUUAGGGGCCAAAAAAAGGCCCAAAUUAGCAUAAUUCUUUGUUUUUCGCACAAUAACUUUAGUAUAAAUAAAUAGAAAAAUAGAAAUCAAUGAAAUUUAAACACAAGGUUUAUGACCACAAAAGGAAGGUUGGGAUUGAUUUUGGGAGUUGAGGUCAGAACAGUUUAGGAAUUAGUGGCCAAAAAGGGGCUCAAAUAAGCAUUUUUCUUUGUUUUCGCACCAUAACUUUAGUAUAAGUAAAUAGAAAUCUAUGAAAUUUAAACACAAGGUUUAUGACCAUAAAGGAAGGUUGGGAUUGAUUUUGGGAGUUUUGAUCCCAACAGUUUAGGAAUAAGGGACCCAAAGGGUCCAAAAUUAAACUUUGUUUGAUUUCAUCAAAAAUUGAAUAAUUGGGGUUCUUUAAUAUGCCGAAUUUAAAAAUGUACUUACUUUUUUGAUUUUUGGCCCAGUUUUCAAGUUGGUCCAAAUUGGGGUCCAAAAUUAAACUUUGUUUGAUUUCAUCAAAAAUUGAAUAAAUGGG